rnacentral:rRNA from 1 species
UACCAGCACCCCGAGUGGUCGGGACGUUUUAUUGGGCCUAAAGCAUCCGUAGCCGGUUCUACAAGUCUUCCGUUAAAUCCAACUGCUUAACAGGUGGGCUGCGGAAGAUACUAUAGAGCUAGGAGGCGGGAGAGGCAAGCGGUACUCGAUGGGUAGGGGUAAAAUCCGUUGAUCCAUUGAAGACCACCAGUGGCGAAGGCGGCUUGCCAGAACGCGCUCGACGGUGAGGGAUGAAGCUGGG